AGAAAUCUGUCAGGGCGUGGGCG
rnacentral:miRNA from 1 species